UACGGGGGGGGGCAAGCGUUGUUCGGAAUUACUGGGCGUAAAGGGCUCAUAGGUGGCCAACUAAGUCAGACGUGAAAUCCCUCGGCUUAACCGGGGAACUGCGUCUGAUACUGGAUGGCUUGAGUUCGGGAGAGGGAUGCGGAAUUCCAGGUGUAGCGGUGAAAUGCGUAGAUAUCUGGAGGAACACCGGUGGCGAAGGCGGCAUCCUGGACCGACACUGACGCUGAGGAGCGAAAGCCAGGGGAGCAAAGCGGG
rnacentral:rRNA from 1 species